rnacentral:rRNA from 1 species
CAGCAGUCGCCGCGGGAAUACGGAGGGAGCUAGCGUUGUUCGGAAUUACUGGGCGUAAAGCGCACGUAGGCGGCUUGGUAAGUUAGAGGUGAAAGCCCGGAGCUCAACUCCGGAAUUGCCUUUAAGACUGCCGAGCUAGCAGGUGAGAGAGGUAAGUGUAAUUCCGAGUGUAGAGGUGAAAUUCGUAGAUAUUCGGAAGAACACCAGUGGCGAAGGCGGCUUACUGGCUCAUACUGGACGCUGAGGUGCGAAAGCGUGGGGAGCAAACAGGAUUAGAUACCCCCGUAGUCCCUGUCUCUUAUAC